GACGAACGCUGGCGGCGUGCCUAAUACAUGCAAGUAGAACGCUGAAGGAGGAGCUUGCUCUUCUGGAUGAGUUGCGAACGGGUGAGUAACGCGUAGGUAACCUGCCUGGUAGCGGGGGAUAACUAUUGGAAACGAUAGCUAAUACCGCAUAACAGUAGAUGUUGCAUGACAUUUACUUAAAAGUUGCAAUUUCAUCACUACCAGAUGGACCUGCGUUGUAUUAGCUAGUUGGUGGGGUAACGGCUCACCAAGGCGACGAUACAUAGCCGACCUGAGAGGGUGAUCGGCCAAAAUGGGAAUGAGACAAGGCCAAGAAGAAUACGGGAGGCAGCAGUAGGGAAUCUUCGGAAAUGGACGGAAGACUGAACGAGCAACGCCGAGUGAGUGAAGAAGGUUUUCGGAUCGUAAAGCUCUGUUGUAAGAGAAGAACGAGUGUGAGAGUGGAAAGUUCACACUGUGACGGUAUCUUACCAGAAAGGGACGGCUAACUACGUG
rnacentral:rRNA from 1 species